rnacentral:rRNA from 1 species
UACGAAGGGGGCUAGCGUUGCUCGGAAUCACUGGGCGUAAAGCGCACGUAGGCGGCUUGUUAAGUCAGGGGUGAAAUCCUGGAGCUCAACUCCAGAACUGCCUUUGAUACUGGCGAGCUUGAGUCCGGGAGAGGUGAGUGGAACUGCGAGUGUAGAGGUGAAAUUCGUAGAUAUUCGCAAGAACACCAGUGGCGAAGGCGGCUCACGGGCCCGGUACUGACGCUGAGGUGCGAAAGCGUGGGGAGCAAACAGG